rnacentral:rRNA from 1 species
CAGUCGCCGCGGUAAAACGUAGGGUGCAAGCGUUGUCCGGAAUCAUUGGGCGUAAAGCGCGCGUAGGUGGUCAUGUAAGUCCGCUGUGAAAGUCAAAGGCUCAACCUUUGAAAGCCGGUGGAUACUGCAUGACUAGAGUACGGAAGAGGCGAGUGGAAUUCCUGGUGUAGCGGUGGAAUGCGCAGAUAUCAGGAGGAACACCAAUAGCGAAGGCAGCUCGCUGGGACGUUACUGACACUGAGGCGCGAAAGCGUGGGGAGCGAACAGGAUUAGAUACCCCAGUAGUCCCUGUCUCUUAUAC